GUCCAUGCCGUAAACGAUGUCUACUAGCCGUUGGGGCCUUUGAGGCCUUAGUGGCGCAGCUAACGCGAUAAGUAGACCGCCUGGGGAGUACGGUCGCAAGACUAAAACUCAAAUGAAUUGACGGGGCCCGCACAAGCGGUGGAGCAUGUGGUUUAAUUCGAUGCAACGCGAAGAACCUUACCUGGCCUUGACAUAGUAAGAACUUUCCAGAGAUGGAUUGGUGCCUUCGGGAACUUACAUACAGGUGCUGCAUGGCUGUCGU
rnacentral:rRNA from 1 species